AUACAUAGAUAUACCUCCUGGAUCAUACCACCCAAUCUCAUCCAAUCUGGGAAGUUAGGCAGGACUGGGCCUGGUUAGUCCUUGGAUGAGAGAAUGAGUGAGUGAGUCCAGGUGGGAGUAAGUGGAUG
ensembl:rRNA predicted gene, 27490